rfam:Solanum lycopersicum cultivar Heinz 1706 chromosome 1, whole genome shotgun sequence.
GGAUGCGAUCAUAUCAGCACUAACGUACCGGAUCCCAUCAGAACUCCAAAGUUAAUUGUGCUUGAGCGAGAGUAGUACUAAUAUGGGUGACCCCUAGGAAGUCCUCGUGUUGCAUCUU